rnacentral:rRNA from 1 species
AUGGCGUGUCUGCCCAAUGUGCUAGAGCUGAGGUGCUUCGUCGUCGCACAGACGAGCAUGGUACCGGGAUGGAAGACAUGGUGCAAGACUUUCAUGAUGCUUGGGACUCGGACGAUGGGAUGGAGGAAUCUGCAAAGGCCUUCAAUGAAAUGUUGGAGUCUUCAAAAUGACCCCUCCAUGAGCACACUGAGCUUUGUUAGCUGGAUAUGCCAUCUCACAAAUAAUUGCUCUGAAGGCUCAAUUCAACUUGGGCAGAGAAUGCUAUGGCGCGAUGAUGAGAGUAUUUGGACAUUUUCUACCCAAAGGCAAUGUACUAUUUGCAAACCUGUACCAGUCAGACAAAAUCCACCAAUGUCUUAA